GACAGGAUAACCUGCAAAUUAGAGUAUUAGCUAAUUGCAUUUCUUAAUUUUAUUCAAACUCCUUGAAUGUAUAUUCAUUAAACAUUUCCCCAGAACAAAUAAAAGAAGAGUAGAAACAAGCCACAACCAUUACACAGUAUCUAAAAUGUCCUAAAACUCAAAUUGAGCCAAAAAUUCCAAAUGCUGCACACCCAUUUUCAGAAUCCUAC
rnacentral:misc_RNA from 1 species